rnacentral:rRNA from 1 species
AACGAACGCUGGCGGCAUGCCUAACACAUGCAAGUCGAACGAGACCUUCGGGUCUAGUGGCGCACGGGUGCGUAACGCGUGGGAACCUGCCCUUAGGUUCGGAAUAACUCCCCGAAAGGGGUGCUAAUACCGGAUAAUGUCUUCGGACCAAAGAUUUAUCGCCUUUGGAUGGGCCCGCGUUGGAUUAGCUAGUUGGUAGGGUAAAAGCCUACCAAGGCGACGAUCCAUAGCUGGUCUGAGAGGAUGAUCAGCCACACUGGGACUGAGACACGGCCCAGACUCCUACGGGAAGCAGCAGUGGGGAAUAUUGGACAAUGGGCGAAAGCCUGAUCCAGCAUUGCCGCGUGAGUGAUGAAGGCCUUAGGGUUGUAAAGCUCUUUUACCCGGGAUGAUAAUGACAGUACCGGGAGAAUAAGCUCCGGCUAACUCCGUG